GGAUGAAGAACGCAGCGAAAUGCGAUAAGUAAUGUGAAUUGCAGAAUUCAGUGAAUCAUCGAAUCUUUGAACGCACAUUGCGCCCGCCAGUAUUCUGGCGGGCAUGCCUGUUCGAGCGUCAUUACAACCCUCAGGCCCCCGGGCCUGGCGUUGGGGAUCGGCGGAAGCCCCCUGUGGGCACACGCCGUCCCUCAAAUACAGUGGCGGUCCCGCCGCAGCUUCCAUUGCGUAGUAGCUAACACCUCGCAACUGGAGAGCGGCGCGGCCAUGCCGUAAAACACCCAACUUCUGAAUGUUGACCUCGAAUCAGGUAGGAAUACCCGCUGAACUUAAGCAUAUCAAUAAGCGGAGGA
rnacentral:misc_RNA from 1 species